rnacentral:tRNA from 1 species
GGUUGCAUGGUGUAACGGUUAGCACGAGAGACUCUGAAUCUCUAGAUCCGAGUUCGAUUCUCGGUGCGACCU